GUAGUUCUGAAGAGUCCCAAACUAGGACGAAACAGCUGUCCAGUAC
rnacentral:hammerhead_ribozyme from 1 species